CAGGGAUGAAAGAAACUAAUAUUGGCUUGAGCGACAUCAGGAGUGACCAGCUGUCCAUCAGGUCGUCGGAUGCUACAUGCAGUUACUACACAACGUCUGCAGCAAGCAUUAGGCGUUUGAGAAGCGUUUGGCUUUAAGGACGUCAAAACCUGACACAUCUAAGUGCAGCAUAUCCAACACAAAAAUGUGAAUGAAAUUGAAGAGCUGCUUUUUAAAAGUAAUGCUCCUUUUAUCGCAUUUUCAUUGCAUGCAAAAACAGCUUGGGCGUUUUCAAACAUGGGCAAGACAUCUGCAUAUGUGCUCUGUGGAUGAAAGAAAGUCAUACGGGUUUAAACGACAUGAGGGUGAGUAAAUGAUGAGAGAAUCGUCAUUUUUUUGGGUGAACUACCCCUUUAAUAAUCCUCAGAGUGAGGGUUUUACUUCUGAGAAGGGGGAGCAGCUCAUCUUCCUGCAAGAGAGCCGAUAACUCCUCUUAUCUCUCACACACUCACAGAGUGUGCACACAUCCAACAUCACUCGCUCUCCAGCCUACUCACACACACACACACACACACACACACACAGCAAGACCCCUAAAGUCAAUCUGUUAUGCACCAAGACAUCUUCACACGGCACAUCAGUAUUCUGUAUGUUAACUGUACGUCUUUACCGCAAUAACAGUUUGAUUCAGCAUGCAGAAAUCCACUGGAACUGAAGAAAAAAAGCAUUAAUGUCUAAAGAAAGAUGACAGAGAGCAGCGCUGUAUGAGCAAUGUGUGUACAUGCUCCAAAAUUAACACUUUAAACACCAAAUAGGAUUUGACGAGUAUUAUUAAAAAUCAUCAGCUUUAGUCCGAAUUCUUUUUUUUAAUUAUUAUUAAUGGACAUUUUUAACAAGACUUCAAGGAAAAUGUUAUAAUUUUUUUAAAUAAAAUAUCAAACUGCAAUAGCUUAGAUAAUAGCUCUAUUUUUAUAUCACUGUAUUGUUAUAUUAACGUUGACAUGUUAUGUUUUUAUUUUUUAAUUUGUACUAUAAG